rnacentral:rRNA from 1 species
GACGAACGCUGGCGGCGUGCUUAACACAUGCAAGUCGAACGGAAAGGCCCUGCUUUUGUGGGGUGCUCGAGUGGCGAACGGGUGAGUAACAUGUGAGUAACCUGGCCUUGACUUUGGGAUAACUUCAGGAAACUGGGGCUAAUACCGGAUAGGAGCUCCUGCUGCAUGGUGGGGGUUGGAAAGUUUCGGCGGUUGGGGAUGGACGCGCGGCUUAUCAGCUUGUUGGUGGGGUAGUGGCUUACCAAGGCUUUGACGGGUAGCCGGCCUGAGAGGGUGACCGGCCACAUUGGGACUGAGAUACGGCCCAGACUCCUACGGGAGGCAGCAGUGGGGAAUAUUGCACAAUGGGCCGAAGCCUGAUGCAGCGACGCCGCGUGCGGGAUGACGGCCUUCGGGUUGUAAACCGCUUUCGCCUGUGACGAAGCGUGAGUGACGGUAAUGGGUAAAGAAGCACCGGCUAACUACGUG